ACAUCAUAAGCAUUGGCUUUGUCUGUCAGUUUGUACAGCUCACCACAAGAUGGCACCGAAGAGCUUUGAAUCUCCAUGCUGAUUUCGAGCCUGUGGAUGUGGAAUCAGUAUCAUCUUAAGAACUCACCUCAAACCCUGAAGCUCCAGCUGCUUUCACUUCAACCCGUCCUGUGGUGUCUUUACUGGAUUUCUCAGUUUCUUCGUCCUGAGUCUGUCUUCACUCCAAUUUGAUUGAUUACCUGUCUCCGCCCUAAUGUGUUGCACCUGCGUCUCCUUAUCCCCGCCCACCUGUGCAUAUAUGCUGCCUUCACGUGCUAUGGGAAUUAUGAUACAUACUAGCUAAGAACUCGAAAAUUGCGCAUAAACGCCCCCUCAUGUUGUAUUUUCUAUUGGAGAACUGGGAAGAAAUUUUGAUACACGAGCAGCUGAGAUGAAAAUAACCUUUGAACUUUUCAACAUGGUAGAGAGUAACGAGGGAUUCAUAGCAAAUGAUAAAC